rnacentral:lncRNA from 1 species
GUAGACUGCGUUUGUAAAAAUGAGUAGCUAGGUUAAAAAUGUACAGAACUUAUCUGAAUUCAUGAAUCAUUUUGAAUUAACUAUUCAAUUUUUUAAAAUUUUAAUUUUUUACUAUCAAAUUUUUAAUUUGUUUGAUUUGAGCCUGUCAAUAUCACUUCGACUUUAAAUUUUAAGCUAACUAUUUGUUUUAGUGAAUUUAUAGUUAUAAGAAUUCGGUGAAGUAUAUUUACUAAAUUUAUAGAGAUAAAUAACGAAUUCAAGAACUUCAAAAUCAAAGUAUUGUUUAUUGACUGAAAUAAAAUAAAUUAAAAGAUUGAAUAGUAAAAUCAUAAUUUUGAAAAGUUGAAAACUAACUUAAAAAAAUUUGUAGUUCAGAUAAGUUAUGUACGUUGUU